rnacentral:rRNA from 1 species
UACGUAGGGUGCAGGCGUUAAUCGGAAUUACUGGGCGUAAAGCGUGCGCAGGCGGUUUUGUAAGCCAGUUGGGAAAUCCCCGGGCUUAACCUGGGAAUGGCAUUUGGGACUGCAAGGCUGGAGUGUGGCAGAGGAGACUGGAAUUCCUUGUGUAGCAGUGAAAUGCGUAGAUAUCAGGAGGAAUACCGAUGGCGAAGGCAGGUCUCUGGGCUGACACUGACGCUCAUGCACGAAAGCGUGGGGAGCAAACAGG